GGCCUCGUAGCUCAGCUGGUAGAGCGUGCUCGUUCAAAGCGUAGGUGGCAUCCAUACGUGGGUUCAAAUCCCGCCGAGGCUA
rnacentral:tRNA from 1 species